rnacentral:rRNA from 1 species
UAAUACGAAGGGGGCUAGCGUUGUUCGGAAUUACUGGGCGUAAAGCGCACGUAGGCGGAUUGUUAAGUGAGGGGUGAAAUCCCAGGGCUCAACCCUGGAACUGCCUUUCAUACUGGCAAUCUAGAGUCCGGAAGAGGUGAGUGGAAUUCCGAGUGUAGAGGUGAAAUUCGUAGAUAUUCGGAGGAACACCAGUGGCGAAGGCGGCUCACUGGUCCGGUACUGACGCUGAGGUGCGAAAGCGUGGGGAGCAAACAGG